rnacentral:rRNA from 1 species
UAAGUUAGAAGUGAAAUGUACGGGCUUAACCCGUAACCUGCUUCUUAAUCGGUAUUUCCUGAAGUAUCGGAGAGGUGAACGGAAUUCCAGGUGUAUCGGUGGAAUGCGUAGAUAUCUGGAAGAACACCAGUAGUGAAAACGGUUCACUGGACGAAUACUGACGCUGAGGUUCGAAAUCUAAGGGAGCGAACAGGAUUAGAUACCCUGGUAGUCUUAGAUGUAAACGAUGGACACUAGAUGGUGGAGUUAUUCACUGUCGUAGCUAAUGCGCUAAGUGUCCCGCCUGGGAAGUACGCACGCAAGUGUGAAACUCAAAGGAAUUGACGGGGGCCCGCACAAGCGGUGGAGCAUGUGCUUUAAUUCGAUGCAACGCGAAGAACCUUACCUGGCCUUGACAUGGGAAUGAAAAUCUCUAGAGAUAGAGAUCCUUUCCUUCGGGAAACAUUCUACACAGAUGCUGCAUGGUUGUCGUCAGCUCGUGUCGUGAGAUGUUGGGUUAAGUCCCGCAACGAGCGCAACCCCUUUCACUAGUUGCCAUCAGGUUAUGCUGGGAACUCUAGUGAUACUGCCCGGGUUAACCGGGAGGAAGGUGGGGAUGACGUCAAAUCAUCAUGGCUCUUACGGCCAGGGCUAGACACGUGCUACAAUGGACGGUACAAAGGGUUGCUAACCGGCGACGGUAUGCCAAUCCCAAAAAACCGUUCUCAGUUCGGAUUGGAGUCUGCAAUCCGACUCCAUGAAGGCGGAAUCGCUAGUAAUCGUGGAUCAGCAAUGCCACGGUGAAUUAGUUCCCGGGCAUUGUACACACCGCCCGUCAAGCCAUGAAAGAUGGCAGUGCC